UUUAUGGAGAGUUUGAUCCUGGCUCAGAGUGAACGCUGGCGGCGUGCCUAAUACAUGCAAGUCGAACGAUGAAGCUUCUAGCUUGCUAGAAGUGGAUUAGUGGCGCACGGGUGAGUAAGGUAUAGUUAAUCUGCCCUACACAAGAGGACAACAGUUGGAAACGACUGCUAAUACUCUAUA
rnacentral:rRNA from 2 species